rnacentral:lncRNA from 1 species
ACUAUUCCAGAAAGUACUUGAUGGCUGACUUAUGAAAUUAGUAUAACGUUUACAUACCACGAUUAUGAUGACAAACCAUUAUAAACCACAUAUGAUAUGAGUUUCUAAUUAAUUGAGGAUAUAUUCUCUUAGUUAGCUUUGAUUUUCUGACUGUGUUAAACCUGCAAAAAAAAAAAAAAAAAGGUUUUAAUUCACUCUUGAGUAGUGUUAGCGAUUGAUCAUAGAGCAGUCAUAUUCGUAAUCUAGCCACAUAGUGCAAGAGAGGUGACCAGAGGAAUGCGGAAGGUUGUUGUAUAUUAAUUCAGCAUGAGAAUGCGGUUGAGAUUGUAGGAAUAAAGUGAAAAUGUUGAUUUCAUGGAAAGUUAAUAUUAAAAAAUCAGAAAUCACUAUAACACGAUUGUAGAUCUCAGAAUAUAUAAGAUCAAGAGCAGGUUACCAAAAAUGUCGAGAAAUUCAAACUGAAAACACGCCACCGAAGAGCGCUUGUUCUUUCUUCUAACGCUGUAACCACACACCAAGUUAAAAAUUCGUCCAGUCGAUCAAAGAAACAAAAACUGCAAAAAAGUACAAAUAUCACAAAGAUAUCAUAGGCUGAUGUAUAUGGGAAGAACUCAUACCAUUUUAUAGGUCGAGUUUCACCGUCUGUAAGGGAGAUGAGAAGUACUGAAUGAGGAAUCGUGAGGCGUAGGUCUUAAGAGUAAAGAGCGCUAGUAAUGGAGAUGAACACUUAAUACCGUAACGUAACAGAGGAGAUGAAUCAGGAACGAAACAUUACAAAAGAGACCGACGCAGUGAUUCCAGACGAAUAACUGAGACGGAGAACCUCUAACAACCUCCAUUGGAGUUUGAUGACUUAAUCACAGCUUAAGAGUACGAACCCUAGAUCUAUCAAAGACGACAAUAUGAGAACGCCGCAACCUAUUAGUUUGUGUUUAUCAGCGUGAAAUAAAUGGAAUAAAU